ensembl:lncRNA
GGUCCCGGCGGGCGGUAGGGUCCGACCGCCGCGCCGGGCGCGGACCGUGCCGGAUGCAGAGGAAAUAGAAGAGUAGGCUGUGAAUAGACCAUGAAAAGAAGAAGGAGAACUCGUUCUCGAGAAGGUACAAGCUGACUCCCAGGGCUCGCCACGGCACCGCAGUGCGACAGGAGACUAACCAUGUCGCGUUCUUGGGGUGGAUUCUCCUGAGAACCUCACAAGUGCUGCGGCGGCUUCCCCUGUUUCCAGUUCCCGUUUGAAGACAGGGCGGAGUCCUCCUAACUUCUGUGACCGCAUCCUUGCCUGCUGGACCUCUCCCAACACUGGAUAUUGAUCGUGUGUAAGAUCACUGCCCUACAAGAGUUCACAAUGUUUAAGAAUUCUUGCCAGAGCUUCUCCUAAAAAAAAUUUCACAGAGAAAUCGUGAAAUUACACCACGUGAUAUAGCAUUUCUUUGUCAAAAAACAUCUCAUUGUAGCUUCUGUUUAAGGAAAGCAUCCGCAACCACCCAGCUGUGCCGAGUUUGGUCCCAGUGAACCGUGUCUUUGUAACGUGCUUCUGGGCAAUUUCCUUUCGAGCCGCUCUCCAGAUCAUACACCUGUGAGCCUGAUUUGCACCUUGUUUGUCGGAGAAGAUUUGAGUUUCCCUCUUACUCUGGGACACGUUUCUGCCUGCGAGCGCCUUGUUCGCAUCUGUGACGGGUCUGGCUGCAACCGGGCAACGAGCGACAGCAACACGACGUGUGGGGGUUGCCCCCUUUGUUGUCCGAGAACAGCGGUGUGAUCCGCCGUCUGGGCGAGAACAGACCAGAAGCGCCCAAUCAGGGCAGCCUGGGCCAGCCGGACCCUGCCCCGCGUGCAGGCUCUGGGCAGACGGCGCCUGUCUUCCCAACACUCAGUUCUCUACGCGUGUGUCCCCCUCCGCGUCCUCGGGAACUCACUGCUCCCCAUCCUGGCUGGCUUGUAGAGAGACUAGAAGCAGGAUGUUAGGAAGCUCAAGGCCUGGCCUCGUGAG